CAGUAGCCACGGGAAUACAGAGGGUGCGAGCGUUAAUCGGAUUUACUGGGCGUAAAGCGUGCGUAGGCGGCUUUUUAAGUCGGAUGUGAAAUCCCUGAGCUUAACUUAGGAAUUGCAUUCGAUACUGGGAAGCUAGAGUAUGGGAGAGGAUGGUAGAAUUCCAGGUGUAGCGGUGAAAUGCGUAGAGAUCUGGAGGAAUACCGAUGGCGAAGGCAGCCAUCUGGCCUAAUACUGACGCUGAGGUACGAAAGCAUGGGGAGCAAACAGGAUUAGAUACCACUGUAGUCCCUGUCUCUUAUAC
rnacentral:rRNA from 1 species